rnacentral:rRNA from 1 species
AAAACCGGUCCCAGUUCGGAUUGUAGGCUGCAACUCGCCUACAUGAAGUUGGAGUUGCUAGUAAUCGCGAAUCAGAAUGUCGCGGUGAAUGCGUUCCCGGGUCUUGUACACACCGCCCGUCACACCAUGGAAGUUGGGGCGCCCGAAGUUGGUCGGGAAAUAGAUUACCUAAGGCGAAACCAAUGACUGGGGUGAAGUCGUAACAAGGUACC